CGGGCCGUAAAAAGACUUAAGUACCUAGGGUAAAUACCAACCAAACCAGACCAAACCUCGCGUUGAUCACUCGGCCGGGUGAAACGCGUCGAACUGGCUGGCGCGGCGGUGGUGCGGGCGGGCACUCUCAGCUCAGAGGGCCGGGCAACUCGGCGCUCCCCCACACCCGUACAGACGUCGGCCCCCGCCGGGACUUGCACUCCCGGACGAGGGCCUGACCAAAGAGGAAGCAGACCCUUCCCC
rnacentral:ncRNA from 1 species